rnacentral:rRNA from 1 species
CUCCUACGGGAGGCAGCAGUCGGGAAUUUUGGGCAAUGGGCGAAAGCCUGACCCAGCAACGCCGCGUGAAGGAUGAAGUAUUUCGGUAUGUAAACUUCGAAAGAAUAGGAAGAAUAAAUGACGGUACUAUUUAUAAGGUCCGGCUAACUACGUGCCAGCAGCCGCGGUAAUACGGGGGGGGCAAGCGUUGUUCGGAAUUACUGGGCGUAAAGGGCUCGUAGGCGGCCAACUAAGUCGGAUGUGAAAUCCCCAGGCUCAACCUGGGAACUGCAUCCGAUACUGGAUGGCUUGAAUUCGGGAGAGGGAUGCAGAAUUCCAGGUGUAGCGGUGAAAUGCGUAGAUAUCUGGAGGAAUACCGGUGGCGAAGGCGGCAUCCUGGACCGACAUUGACGCUGAGGAGCGAAAGCUAGGGGAGCAAACGGGAUUAGAUACCCCGGUAGUCCUAGCCCUAAACGAUGAAUGCUUGGUGUAGCGGGUAUCGAUCCCUGCUGUGCCGAAGCUAACGCAUUAAGCAUUCCGCCUGGGGAGUACGGUCGCAAGGCUGAAACUUAAAGGAAUUGACGG